rnacentral:rRNA from 1 species
UACAGAGGUUGCAAACGUUGUUCGGAAUCACUGGGCAUAAAGCGCACGUAGGCGGCUGACUAAGUCGGAUGUGAAAUCCCUCGGCUUAACCGGGGAACUGCGUCCGAUACUGGUCGGCUUGAGAACGGUAGGGGUGAGCGGAACUCCAGGUGGAGCGGUGAAAUGCGUAGAUAUCUGGAGGAAUACCGGUGGCGAAGGCGGCAUCCUGGACCGGCAUUGACGCUGAGGAGCGAAAGCCAGGGGAGCAAACGGG